CCUACGGGGGGCUGCAGUGGGGAAUAUUGCGCAAUGGGCGAAAGCCUGACGCAGCAACGCCGCGUGAGGGAUGAAGGCCUUCGGGUUGUAAACCUCUUUCAGCAGGGAAGAAGCGAAAGUGACGGUACCUGCAGAAGAAGCACCGGCUAACUACGUGCCAGCAGCCGCGGUAAUACGUAGGGUGCAAGCGUUGUCCGGAUUUAUUGGGCGUAAAGAGCUCGUAGGCGGUUUGUUACGUCGGAUGUGAAAUCCUGGAGCUUAACUCCGGGCCUGCAUUCGAUACGGGCAGACUCGAGUGUUGUAGGGGAGACUGGAACUCCUGGUGUAGCGGUGAAAUGCGCAGAUAUCAGGAAGAACACCGAUGGCGAAGGCAGGUCUCUGGGCAACUACUGACGCUGAGGAGCGAAAGCGUGGGGAGCAAACAGGAUUAGAUACCCGUGUAGUC
rnacentral:rRNA from 1 species